rnacentral:tRNA from 11 species
AAUGGCCUAGUGGUCAAGACGACCGCCUGGCAUGCCAGGGGUCGCCGGUUCAAAUC